ensembl:lncRNA
AUGAAAGUUUGGAGUUUAUUUUUCCUCGUCUUUCUGCUUCUGAGUCCAACCCUCGGAGAGGACACAGUUGCAGAUGACAUUGGUGCCCAUCAGCUGAAGCGCUUGGUGGAGUUGCUGACGUCCAAGGAGUGCGAGGACCUUCUGUCCGUCCUCUCCCGCCCCGAGGAAAACAUCUUCCAGCGCGUUGAGCGUCUCUCCCCGGAAACGAAUCAGCUAGAACCUCGAGCCUCGAAGCCGCGAGCCAAGAGAGAAGCCUCAACCGCUGCAGGCGAUGAGGCUCGGUGCCGCGCGGGCCUGACGGACUGGAUGCUCAGGCACGGCGAGCAGACCUACUACGACAGGCUCGCUCGCGCCUUGCAGCACAUCGGCAGAACCGAUGUGGCCGUUGAAGUGGGGAAGAACAUCAACCAGGACAAAGUCCUGAAGAUUAAACGCUACGUUGAAGAUUACCACGAAUAUGUGAAGUCUUUAAACAUCCCGCUGGAACAACCAGCCUCAGAUGACCGACAGCAUGACGCCCACACGGUCAGAAAAAGAAGAGUAAGGCACCUGACAUCCCGUGACCUGGAUCUGGUUGUGGAGCGGUCUCCUGUACCCGUGUACCAGAAGGGAAUUUCGGUUGUAGCUCUGCCCCUUUUGUGGGGCAUCCUGCUGGGCUUCGGAGGGACCUUGAUUUUUGGAACCUCUAUAGUUCUCGCCGUCGUGCACAUCUGGCAUGGAAACCAGCAGAUCCGUCAACCCAGGGACCUGCAGGACGUUUUCUGCAGGACUUGCAGAACAUGCAGGUCCUUGCAGGUGGUAGGCUGCGAUGUAAGCAGCUUAGAGGGUUUAAUGGAAUGA